GACGAACGCUGGCGGCGUGCUUAACACAUGCAAGUCGAACGGAAAGGCCCUGCUUUUGUGGGGUGCUCGAGUGGCGAACGGGUGAGUAACACGUGAGUAACCUGCCCUUGACUUUGGGAUAACUUCAGGAAACUGGGGCUAAUACCGGAUAGGAGCUCCUGCUGCAUGGUGGGGGUUGGAAAGUUUCGGCGGUUGGGGAUGGACUCGCGGCUUAUCAGCUUGUUGGUGGGGUAGUGGCUUACCAAGGCUUUGACGGGUAGCCGGCCUGAGAGGGUGACCGGCCACAUUGGGACUGAGAUACGGCCCAGACUCCUACGGGAGGCAGCAGGGGGGAAUAUUGCACAAUGGGCGGAAGCCUGAUGCAGCAACGCCGCGUGCGGGAUAACGGCCUUCGGGUUGUAAACCGCUUUCGCCUGUGACGAAGCGUGAGUGACGGUAAUGGGUAAAGAAGCACCGGCUAACUACGUG
rnacentral:rRNA from 1 species